rfam:Pichia membranifaciens NRRL Y-2026 unplaced genomic scaffold PICMEscaffold_5, whole genome shotgun sequence.
AUCUCUUUGCCUUUUGGCUUAGAUCAAGUGUAGUAUCUGUUCUUUUCAGUGUAACAACUGAAAUCGGGGCCCCGUUGGGGGCUCCAUUAUUGUUACGUUUAUUUUUGAUGAGAAGUAUGUCGACUGGCGAGGGCUCAGAUUUAUCUGGCAUCGCCGCCUGACGCUGGUGUCGUUACCCUCUACACUUUUUGGUUCCUGACGCCUCCUUUC